CAGUUUUAUUUGAAAGUCACGGGGAGGAGCCAAGAUGGCCGAAUAGGAACAGCUCCGGUCUACAGCUCCCAGCCUGAGCGACGCAGAAGACGGGUGAUUUCUUCAUUUCCACCUGAGACCUGCAUUGAGCUGCGGUGCUGAUGUUUCUCCUAGUAGCAUGGCUUUCGGUAUAAAAAUAUGCAAAAAAGUGACGUGAGGAAUAUUUGAACCAAGGUUUUAACCUUCAAAAUAUCAGGAAUGGGAAAGGAGGCAGCUAAGAAGAUGGAGAAGGAUAUACUGGGGAAACAAGUCAUAAGGAUUUGCCUUUCAGUUAAAAAACUUUCCCUGAAGCAGCUAUUAGAGAAAAGCAACUUAUUAUAAUUCUGAAAAUUUUUCCUUCUUGAUGUUCUAUCUCUAUGCAGAUGUCAUCUCCUCUUCCAUUCAGUAGACAAAAAAUAAAAAAUGGAUACUGUGUUAUUGGUGCUCUG
rnacentral:lncRNA from 1 species